CUAAGUUUGAUGGCGACCGGCGCACGGGUGAGUAACACGUAUCCAACCUGCCGAUGACUCGGGGAUAGCCUUUCGAAAGAAAGAUUAAUACCCGAUGGCAUAGUUCUUCCGCAUGGUAGAACUAUUAAAGAAUUUCGGUCAUCGAUGGGGAUGCGUUCCAUUAGGUCGUUGGCGGGGUAACGGCCCACCAAGCCUUCGAUGGAUAGGGGUUCUGAGAGGAAGGUCCCCCACAUUGGAACUGAGACACGGUCCAAACUCCUACGGGAGGCAGCAUG
rnacentral:rRNA from 1 species